rnacentral:snRNA from 1 species
AGAUGUGAGGGCGAUCUGGUGGCGACAUCUGUCACCCCAUUGAUCGCCAGGGUUGAUUCGGCUGAUCUGACUGGCUAGGCGGGUGUCCCCUUCCUCCCUCACCGCUCCAUGUGCGUCCCUCCCGAAGCUGCGCACUCGGUGGAAGAGGACGACUAUCCCAGAUAGAAGGAGUGUACCCUUCUUCGGUCAAGGGUAUACGAUAGCUGCACUCCCCUUCUAGAACCUCCAAACAAGCUCAAGGUACAACUACCUUAAAUAAACCAAUACUUUAAGAUAUGAAAGAAACCCAUUGUUUCUGUAUACAAU